ACCAGGAGUCCUCACAUCAUCAAAAGAAUCCUGGAAGCUGAUGUCGUCCAGGUAAAAGUCUGGAUCUGGAUGAAAUAUUGUGGUGAAGUGCAGUGAACGAAGUGUUUUUGGAAUGGUUAUUCGUGAAAGAAAAAGUGACGGCAUCUCAAAAGAAAGUUAAUUGAACCUGGAUCGGUAAAGAUUUGGGUAAAGUGUUCUCCACUGAUCUAAAUGCAGAAAUGUUCCUGAACUGGGAUAUCUGACAUCCUUCAUGCAGAAGUCAGUUUCUGAUAAACACUCAGAGCAAUCCAUGCUUCGUGAACAGCAUAAGAAGAUUUUAAAUACCAAGUUAUCAGGUUUCCUGGAGAGGACGCCUCUUUGCGAGCAAACAAGAUUCACAGCUACUUGAAGUGGACUGAAUUAUCCCUGACCAGGCCAACCACACAGUACUGUAUCAGUCAGCAACAAGAUGGCGGUUACUCUGCUGUUACGUAUAUGGCAGAUGAGGAGAAAGUUAGCAACGGAGGCACCUGCAUAAGGAAGUGCUGCCCUCAAGGAGAGGUCAAAUCUCACGCUAAUUGCAAACCUGGAAACUUGAACUUAAGUUUGUCCUUCUACACACUCUUGGGGGACGAGUCCGAGGCGCCGCGGGACCUUCAGUUGGUGCCGAUAGUCCCAAAGUGUGCUUACAAAUCCACAAUAAUGUUCCCUCCAGUUUAUCGUCUCCUUCCUACCGGCAAACUCUACCUCACAGGGACAGGACAGAUUAUAGAAAACGACAAGUUCUGUACCGAAUAUU